AUCGAACGCUGCGGCAGGCUUAACACAUGCAAGUCGAGCGAGCGGCGGACGGGUGUGUAAUGCUUAGGAAUCUGCCUAUUAGUGGGGGACAACAUCUCGAAAGGGAUGCUAAUACCGCAUACUAAUAGAUGAGUCUCAGUGGGAUUAGCUAGGCGGUGGGGUAAAGGCCUACUAAGGCGACGAUCUGUAGCGUGUCUGAGAGGAUGAUCCGCCACACUGGGACGGAGACACGGCCCAGACUCCUACGGGAGGCAGAAGUGGGGAAUAUUGGACAAGGGGGGGAACCCUGAUCCAGCAAUGCCGCGUGUGUGAAGAAGGCCUUAUGGUUGUAAAGCACUUUAAGCGAGGAGGCGUUACUCGAAGAAUAAGCACCGGCUAACUCUGUGCCAGCAGCCGCGGUAAUUC
rnacentral:rRNA from 1 species